AGGCAGCAGUGGGGAAUAUUGCACAAUGGGGGAAACCCUGAUGCAGCCAUGUCCGCGUGUGUNAAGAAGGCCUUCGGGUUGUAAAGCACUUUACAGCGAGGAGGAAAGGUGGCUAGCUAAUACCUAGUUGACUGUGACGUUACUCGCAGAAGAAGCACCGGUCUAAUCUCCCGUGCCAGCAUUCCGCGGUAAUACGGAGGGUGCAAGCGUUAAUGCGGAAUAAUCUGGGCGUAAAGCGCACGCAGGCGGUCGGAUAAGUCAGAUGUGAAAGCCCCGGGCUCAACCUGGGAACUGCAUUUGAAACUGUCUGACUAGAGUCUUGUAGAGGGGGGUAGAAUUCCAGGUGUAGCGGUGAAAUGCGUAGAGAUCUGGAGGAAUACCGGUGGCGAAGGCGGCCCCCUGGACAAAGACUGACGCUCAGGUGCGAAAGCGUGGGGAGCAAACAGGAUUAGAUACCCUGGUAGUCCACGCCGUAAACGAUGUCAACUUGGAGUCUGUGCCAUAGAGCGUGGGCUCCGAAGCUAACGCGAUAAGUUGACCGCCUGGGGAGUACGGCCGCAAAGUNANAACUCAAAAGANUUGAUCGNAUNCNNGG
rnacentral:rRNA from 1 species